CACGUAGGGUGCGAGCGUUGUCCGGAAUUAUUGGGCGUAAAGAGCGUGUAGGCGGCCCGGUAAGUCCGCUGUGAAAGUCCAGGGCUCAACCCUGGGAUGCCGGUGGAUACUGUCGGGCUCGAGUCCGGAAGAGGAGUGUGGAAUUCCUGGUGUGAGCGGUGAAAUGCGCAGAUAUCAGGAGGGAACACCGGUGGGCGAAGGCGGGGUCUCUGGG
rnacentral:rRNA from 1 species